UAUGGUGACUAUUGCGAUGGGGAUCACCUCUUCCCAUUCCGAACAGAGAAGUUAAGCCCAUUAGCGCAGAUGGUACUAGGGUAACACCUGGGAGAGUAUGUCGUCGCCAAUU
rnacentral:rRNA from 1 species